GUGAUGGCCGAUUUUAUUGGGCCUAAAGCGUCCGUAGCUGGCCCUGCAAGUCCGUCGGGAAAUCCACUCGCCUAACGAGUGGGCGUCCGGCGGAAACUCCAGGACUUGGGACCGGAAGACUUGAGGGGUACGUCUGGGGUAGGAGUGAAAUCCUGUAAUCCUGGACGGACCGCCGAUAGCGAAAGCACCUCAAGACGACGGAUCCGGCAGUGAGGGACGAAAGCUAUGGUCUCGAAC
rnacentral:rRNA from 1 species